CAGGAGGCUCAGAGGAUUUAAAAGGAGAACUUUGAGUACGUUUACUGCCAAAUGUAAAGUACCGAGAUCACGUAUUAUAUUGUUGCUCACGACAUUUUUUUUUUCCAAAAGUAUUCCCCACACCAUGCGUGAAAGCCCUCAUUCUGCUCGAGAACCCCCCUGCUUCACCAUCUAGGAAUGUAUGGGAAAUAGACGAGCUUCUUGGAAUGCCACGUGCAAUCACUGCCAGCCAAAAAGAAGGGAAAGAAGGAAAAAAAACUGUGGUGCAUGAUUCUCAAUCACUCUUCAAUUGUGAAUUUGGCCGUCGGGGGUACGGUCACCGGGGGAGGGGCCUGGGAAACUGUAGACACCAUGCUGCUUGCUGCCCAGAAUAAGAAGCAUGGGAAUAAUUGAAUGGACCUUUCCAACCCUCCGCCCCCUCGAUUCGUGUGGGCCACUAAACGAGCUUGUGUCCGGGAUCGGAUCGGCCUCCCUACCAGCAUAAGUCACUCGGUGGCUCGUUUUGGCAGGAACAGAUGAUUUUAUGGUAAGACGUUAAGAAAAGCCAAGCGACACAAUCGGGUCGACAAAUCAUGGAGAUGGGGAGGGGGGUGCCAGACGGAGCAGCAGAAAGAGUGUGGUUCAUGACCCGGAUGUCAAAUAAAGUCACAUCGACCGAAUUAGAAAACUACAUCACUGUUCUUGAAUUUCUGUCGCGGGACAACGUUUACGUUGUAUAUCCUUUGUGUGUUCGCUGCUCAACAACCAAUGAGAACAUGUUUUACUGGCAAGCAGCAGUACCUGAGCCUAACCCUUCAAAACACUUGACCAAACAUUUCCUAUUCACUUUGUAGUGAUGAGGACUUGUGCUGUUACUUUCCCUUCAUUCACCAACUGCUGGCAAUCUUAAAAUAAAAAUGUACGGACU